UUGAUCAUUGAUGAAAUAAGAGAAACAUUAUCUGACAUAAAUUGAUACGAAUCCAUAUGCAUCACCAUGCAUUAGACCAAUAAUUAUGCUGAUAUUUCUUCUUUUCAAAUAAAAGAAGAUUUGGUCAAUGUGCCAAACAUGCAUAAUUUGUUUUUGUCAAAAUCAAUUAAUCCCAAGUAUACAUCUUUAUGUAACUUUGGAAUUACAUUUCAUCCAAAUGACAAAGUCU
rnacentral:lncRNA from 1 species